UACGUAGGGCGCAAGCGUUAUCCGGAAUUAUUGGGCGUAAAGAGCUCGUAGGCGGCUUGUCGCGUCGGAUGUGAAAGCCCGGGGCUUAACUCCGGGUCUGCAUUCGAUACGGGCAGGCUAGAGUUCGGUAGGGGAGAUCGGAAUUCCUGGUGUAGCGGUGAAAUGCGCAGAUAUCAGGAGGAACACCGGUGGCGAAGGCGGAUCUCUGGGCCGAUACUGACGCUGAGGAGCGAAAGCGUGGGGAGCGAACAGG
rnacentral:rRNA from 1 species